rnacentral:rRNA from 1 species
ACGGAAGGCAGCAGUGGGGAAUAUUGGUCAAUGGGCGGAAGCCUGAACCAGCCAAGUCGCGUGAAGGAAGACGGUAUUAUGUAUUUUAAACUUCUUUAGCAGUAGAGCAAUAACCUCCUUGCGAGGGGGGAUGAGAGUAUACUGAGAAUAAGCAUCGGCUAACUCCGUGCCAGCAGCCGCGGUAAUACGGAGGAUGCGAGCGUUAUCCGGAUUUAUUGGGUUUAAAGGGUGCGCAGGCGGUCCUUUAAGUCAGUGGUUAAAGCGUGGGGCUCAACCCCAGCACGCCAUUGAUACUGGAGGACUUGAGUGCGGUUGAGGUAGGCGGAAUUCGUCGUGUAGCGGUGAAAUGCAUAGAUAUGACGAAGAACCCCGAUUGCGUAGGCAGCUUACCAAGCCGUAAAUGACGCUCAUGCACGAAAGUGCGGGGAUCGAACAGGAUUAGAUACCCUGGUA